GUCUUUUUGUUAAAAAUUUAAAGUCGGGCCUGCCCACUGAAAAUUUAAAUGGCCGUGGUAUUUUGACCGUGCUAAGGUAGCAUAAUCAUUAGUUUUUUAAUUAAAAGCUGGAAUGAAGGGUUUGAUAAAAAAAUAACUGUCUCUAUUUAAUUUUAUUAAAAUUUUAUUUUUAAGUUCAAAAGCUUAAGUUAAAUUAAAAGACGAGAAGACCCUAUAGAGUUUAAUAAUAUAAUAUAAUUUUUAUUUUUGAAUUAAAUUAUUUAUUUUUUUAUAUUAUUUAAUUGGGGUGAUUAAAAAAUUUAAUUAACUUUUUUUAUAUUUUACCAUUGAUUUAUGAUUAUUUGAUCCAAUUUUUUUGAUUAGAAGAUAAAAUUACCUUAGGGAUAACAGCGUAAUUUUUUUAAAAAGUUCAAAUUAAAAAAAAAGAUUGCGACCUCGAUGUUGGAUUAAAAUUAAAUUUUGGUGUAGAAGCUAAAAAUUUAAGUCUGUUCGACUUUUAAAAUUUUACA
rnacentral:rRNA from 1 species